GACGAACGCUGGCGGCGUGCCUAACACAUGCAAGUCGAGCGAAGUGAGUACUACGGUACGAACUUAGCGGCGGACGGGUGAGUAACGCGUGGACAAUCUACCCUGCAGACUGGGAUAACACCUCGAAAGGGGUGCUAAUACCGGAUAAUGUCGAGAAGCGGCAUCGCUUUUCGAAGAAAGGAGAGAAUCCGCUAUAGGAGGAGUCCGCGUCCCAUUAGCAAGUUGGUGAGGGUAACGGCCCACCAAGGCGACGAUGGGUAGCCGGCCUGAGAGGGUGAACGGCCACACUGGAACUGAGACACGGUCCAGACUCCUACGGGAGGCAGCAGUGGGGAAUAUUGUGCAAUGGGGGAAACCCUGACACAGCAACGCCGCGUGAGCGAAGAAGGCCUUCGGGUUGUAAAGCUCAAUAGUAUGGGAAGAUAAUGACGGUACCAUACUAAAGCCCCGGCUAACUACGUGCCAGCCGCCGCCGUAAAAC
rnacentral:rRNA from 1 species